rnacentral:lncRNA from 1 species
CGAGUUCUGUAUUGUUUCGUGUGUUGUCGGAUUCGUUCGAGUUAGAGCAACAUGUGCUAUCUUGUUCAUGUGAAUGUAUGCUUUCCUGGCGUAUACAGUCGCGUUUCCGGGCUUGCAGCCGGCUGCAAGNNNNNNNAAGUGUUUUGAAACCGCGAAGUUUGAAGACGUGCUUCAUAAUGGGAUAAAGUAGUGCCGAGACAUGUAUGUAUAAAAACUUGACACUUGAUGCGUGAUUUGCCCUAAUUCGAGAGUUUGAGGGCGGCGUCUAGUGAGUUUAAGGAGACGCCACUUUCGUGAGGCAGGCCGGUGGCGGGCUCGC